rnacentral:rRNA from 1 species
GGGUUGUGAGGUUAAGCGACUAAGCGUACACGGUGGAUGCCCUGGCAGUCAGAGGCGAUGAAGGACGUGCUAAUCUGCGAUAAGCGUCGGUAAGGUGAUAUGAACCGUUAUAACCGGCGAUUUCCGAAUGGGGAAACCCAGUGUGUUUCGACACACUAUCAUUAACUGAAUCCAUAGGUUAAUGAGGCGAACCGGGGGAACUGAAACAUCUAAGUACCCCGAGGAAAAGAAAUCAACCGAGAUUCCCCCAGUAGCGGCGAGCGAACGGGGAGCAGCCCAGAGCCUGAAUCAGUGUGUGUGUUAGUGGAAGCGUCUGGAAAGGCGCGCGAUACAGGGUGACAGCCCCGUACACAAAAAUGCACAUGCUGUGAGCUCGAUGAGUAGGGCGGGACACGUGGUAUCCUGUCUGAAUAUGGGGGGACCAUCCUCCAAGGCUAAAUACUCCUGACUGACCGAUAGUGAACCAGUACCGUGAGGGAAAGGCGAAAAGAACCCCGGCGAGGGGAGUGAAAAAGAACCUGAAACCGUGUACGUACAAGCAGUGGGAGCACGCUUAGGCGUGUGACUGCGUACCUUUUGUAUAAUGGGUCAGCGACUUAUAUUCUGUAGCAAGGUUAACCGAAUAGGGGAGCCGAAGGGAAACCGAGUCUUAACUGGGCGUUAAGUUGCAGGGUAUAGACCCGAAACCCGGUGAUCUAGCCAUGGGCAGGUUGAAGGUUGGGUAACACUAACUGGAGGACCGAACCGACUAAUGUUGAAAAAUUAGCGGAUGACUUGUGGCUGGGGGUGAAAGGCCAAUCAAACCGGGAGAUAGCUGGUUCUCCCCGAAAGCUAUUUAGGUAGCGCCUCGUGAAUUCAUCUCCGGGGGUAGAGCACUGUUUCGGCAAGGGGGUCAUCCCGACUUACCAACCCGAUGCAAACUGCGAAUACCGGAGAAUGUUAUCACGGGAGACACACGGCGGGUGCUAACGUCCGUCGUGAAGAGGGAAACAACCCAGACCGCCAGCUAAGGUCCCAAAGUCAUGGUUAAGUGGGAAACGAUGUGGGAAGGCCCAGACAGCCAGGAUGUUGGCUUAGAAGCAGCCAUCAUUUAAAGAAAGCGUAAUAGCUCACUGGUCGAGUCGGCCUGCGCGGAAGAUGUAACGGGGCUAAACCAUGCACCGAAGCUGCGGCAGCGACGCUGAUGCGUUGUUGGGUAGGGGAGCGUUCUGUAAGCCUGCGAAGGUGUGCUGUGAGGCAUGCUGGAGGUAUCAGAAGUGCGAAUGCUGACAUAAGUAACGAUAAAGCGGGUGAAAAGCCCGCUCGCCGGAAGACCAAGGGUUCCUGUCCAACGUUAAUCGGGGCAGGGUGAGUCGACCCCUAAGGCGAGGCCGAAAGGCGUAGUCGAUGGGAAACAGGUUAAUAUUCCUGUACUUGGUGUUACUGCGAAGGGGGGACGGAGAAGGCUAUGUUGGCCGGGCGACGGUUGUCCCGGUUUAAGCGUGUAGGCUGGUUUUCCAGGCAAAUCCGGAAAAUCAAGGCUGAGGCGUGAUGACGAGGCACUACGGUGCUGAAGCAACAAAUGCCCUGCUUCCAGGAAAAGCCUCUAAGCAUCAGGUAACAUCAAAUCGUACCCCAAACCGACACAGGUGGUCAGGUAGAGAAUACCAAGGCGCUUGAGAGAACUCGGGUGAAGGAACUAGGCAAAAUGGUGCCGUAACUUCGGGAGAAGGCACGCUGAUAUGUAGGUGAAGUUCCCUUGCGGAUGGAGCUGAAAUCAGUCGAAGAUACCAGCUGGCUGCAACUGUUUAUUAAAAACACAGCACUGUGCAAACACGAAAGUGGACGUAUACGGUGUGACGCCUGCCCGGUGCCGGAAGGUUAAUUGAUGGGGUCAGCGCAAGCGAAGCUCUUGAUCGAAGCCCCGGUAAACGGCGGCCGUAACUAUAACGGUCCUAAGGUAGCGAAAUUCCUUGUCGGGUAAGUUCCGACCUGCACGAAUGGCGUAAUGAUGGCCAGGCUGUCUCCACCCGAGACUCAGUGAAAUUGAACUCGCUGUGAAGAUGCAGUGUACCCGCGGCAAGACGGAAAGACCCCGUGAACCUUUACUAUAGCUUGACACUGAACAUUGAGCCUUGAUGUGUAGGAUAGGUGGGAGGCUUAGAAGUGUGGACGCCAGUCUGCAUGGAGCCGACCUUGAAAUACCACCCUUUAAUGUUUGAUGUUCUAACGUUGACCCGUAAUCCGGGUUGCGGACAGUGUCUGGUGGGUAGUUUGACUGGGGCGGUCUCCUCCUAAAGAGUAACGGAGGAGCACGAAGGUUGGCUAAUCCUGGUCGGACAUCAGGAGGUUAGUGCAAUGGCAUAAGCCAGCUUGACUGCGAGCGUGACGGCGCGAGCAGGUGCGAAAGCAGGUCAUAGUGAUCCGGUGGUUCUGAAUGGAAGGGCCAUCGCUCAACGGAUAAAAGGUACUCCGGGGAUAACAGGCUGAUACCGCCCAAGAGUUCAUAUCGACGGCGGUGUUUGGCACCUCGAUGUCGGCUCAUCACAUCCUGGGGCUGAAGUAGGUCCCAAGGGUAUGGCUGUUCGCCAUUUAAAGUGGUACGCGAGCUGGGUUUAGAACGUCGUGAGACAGUUCGGUCCCUAUCUGCCGUGGGCGCUGGAGAACUGAGGGGGGCUGCUCCUAGUACGAGAGGACCGGAGUGGACGCAUCACUGGUGUUCGGGUUGUCAUGCCAAUGGCACUGCCCGGUAGCUAAAUGCGGAAGAGAUAAGUGCUGAAAGCAUCUAAGCACGAAACUUGCCCCGAGAUGAGUUCUCCCUGACUCCUUGAGAGUCCUGAAGGAACGUUGAAGACGACGACGUUGAUAGGCCGGGUGUGUAAGCGCAGCGAUGCGUUGAGCUAACCGGUACUAAUGAACCGUGAGGCUUAACCUUACAACGCCGAAGGUGUUU